rnacentral:rRNA from 1 species
AGAGUUUGAUCAUGGCUCAGAUUGAACGCUGGCGGUAGGCCUAACACAUGCAAGUCGAACGGUGACAGGAAGCAGCUUGCUGCUUCGCUGACGAGUGGCGGACGGGUGAGUAAUGUCUGGGAAACUGCCUGAUGGAGGGGGAUAACUACUGGAAACGGUAGCUAAUACCGCAUAAUGUCGCAAGACCAAAGAGGGGGACCUUCGGGCCUCUUGCCAUCGGAUGUGCCCAGAUGGGAUUAGCUUGUUGGUGGGGUAACGGCUCACCAAGGCGACGAUCCCUAGCUGGUCUGAGAGGAUGACCAGCCACACUGGAACUGAGACACGGUCCAGACUCCUACGGGAGGCAGCAGUGGGGAAUAUUGCACAAUGGGCGCAAGCCUGAUGCAGCCAUGCCGCGUGUAUGAAGAAGGCCUUCGGGUUGUAAAGUACUUUCAGCGGGGAGGAAGGGAGUAAAGUUAAUACCUUUGCUCAUUGACGUUAUCCGCAGAAGAAGCACCGGCUAACUCCGUGCCAGCAGCCGCGGUAAUACGGAGGGUGCAAGCGUUAAUCGGAAUUACUGGGCGUAAAGCGCACGCAGGCGGUUUGUUAAGUCAGAUGUGAAAUCCCCGGGCUCAACCUGGGAACUGCAUCUGAUACUGGCAAGCUUGAGUCUCGUAGAGGGGGGUAGAAUUCCAGGUGUAGCGGUGAAAUGCGUAGAGAUCUGGAGGAAUACCGGUGGCGAAGGCGGCCCCCUGGACGAAGACUGACGCUCAGGUGCGAAAGCGUGGGGAGCAAACAGGAUUAGAUACCCUGGUAGUCCACGCCGUAAACGAUGUCGACUUGGAGGUUGUGCCCUUGAGGCGUGGCUUCCGGAGCUAACGCGUUAAGUCGACCGCCUGGGGAGUACGGCCGCAAGGUUAAAACUCAAAUGAAUUGACGGGGGCCCGCACAAGCGGUGGAGCAUGUGGUUUAAUUCGAUGCAACGCGAAGAACCUUACCUGGUCUUGACAUCCACGGAAGUUUUCAGAGAUGAGAAUGUGCCUUCGGGAACCGUGAGACAGGUGCUGCAUGGCUGUCGUCAGCUCGUGUUGUGAAAUGUUGGGUUAAGUCCCGCAACGAGCGCAACCCUUAUCCUUUGUUGCCAGCGGUCCGGCCGGGAACUCAAAGGAGACUGCCAGUGAUAAACUGGAGGAAGGUGGGGAUGACGUCAAGUCAUCAUGGCCCUUACGACCAGGGCUACACACGUGCUACAAUGGCGCAUACAAAGAGAAGCGACCUCGCGAGAGCAAGCGGACCUCAUAAAGUGCGUCGUAGUCCGGAUUGGAGUCUGCAACUCGACUCCAUGAAGUCGGAAUCGCUAGUAAUCGUGGAUCAGAAUGCCACGGUGAAUACGUUCCCGGGCCUUGUACACACCGCCCGUCACACCAUGGGAGUGGGUUGCAAAAGAAGUAGGUAGCUUAACCUUCGGGAGGGCGCUUACCACUUUGUGAUUCAUGACUGGGGUGAAGUCGUAACAAGGUAACCGUAGGGGAACCUGCGGUUG